CAUUGUGCGUCAUUCCUUCAUUGUAACUUGGAGUAAUGUUUGUGUGGGCAUCAACGCUACUGCUGCAUUUAGCAGUAAAUCAAUAAAAAAAGCAUUGAGUGUUAUCUGUUUUUAGAUAACUUAUGCAUUACACUAUAUGAUGCAUAUGAAAGUAGAGGUUCACUUCACGGCGCCACUCUUCAAUCUCAUGCGUCGAGGCUUUUCUUGGAAUGUUCUGGUGAACUGCUAGGUAACCACUCCCCUCUGCCACUCCCCUUUGCUGCACCUUUCUGCAGCUCUUCUCUCCCUGUUGGUGAGGAGAACCAGGUGGACUCAAUCUCCUAGCAAUCAGAGUGCAGCUACUUUUGGCUGACUGACCUGUCACUCCUGUUUGAGAGCAUGAGAAGCAGACAGUGCUGGUAGCAUGUAGAUUCAGAACUGUGUAAAAGUUUCUACAAACUGUGAAAGACAGCCGGUUUUUCAACUACAUUCUAUGGGUUAUGUGCUAUGUGGACCAUCAUACGAAAAAUAAAGAUGAGUCAACUAAAUUAAAGGCUCUGAGUAAAAUCCAGUUCAAACUUCACAGUGGAAACUAUCCCUUUCAAGUGGGGAAUCGCACAGUAAACCUAACC